rnacentral:rRNA from 1 species
AAAGGCCCCUUCGGGGGUACUCGAGCGGCGAACGGGUGAGUAACACGUGAGCAACCUGCCCCUGACUCUGGGAUAAGCCCGGGAAACUGGGUCUAAUACCGGAUGUGACCAGCCUCCGCAUGGAGUGCUGGUGGAAAGUUUUUCGGUUGGGGAUGGGCUCGCGGCCUAUCAGCUUGUUGGUGGGGUGAUGGCCUACCAAGGCGACGACGGGUAACCGGCCUGAGAGGGCGACCGGUCACACUGGGACUGAGACACGGCCCAGACUCCUACGGGAGGCAGCAGUGGGGAAUAUUGCGCAAUGGGCGGAAGCCUGACGCAGCGACGCCGCGUGAGGGAUGACGGCCUUCGGGUUGUAAACCUCUUUCAGCAGGGACGAAGCUAACGUGACGGUACCUGCAGAAGAAGCGCCGGCUAACUACGUGCCAGCAGCCGCGGUAAUACGUAGGGCGCAAGCGUUGUCCGGAAUUAUUGGGCGUAAAGAGCUCGUAGGCGGUUUGUCGCGUCUGUCGUGAAAGCCCACGGCUUAACCGUGGGUCUGCGGUGGAUACGGGCAGACUAGAGGCAGGUAGGGGAGAAUGGAAUUCCCGGUGUAGCGGUGAAAUGCGCAGAUAUCGGGAGGAACACCGGUGGCGAAGGCGGUUCUCUGGGCCUGUACUGACGCUGAGGAGCGAAAGCGUGGGGAGCGAACAGGAUUAGA